rnacentral:rRNA from 1 species
AGGACGAACGCUGGCGGCGUGCUUAACACAUGCAAGUCGAACGGUAAGGCCCCUUCGGGGGUACACGAGUGGCGAACGGGUGAGUAACACGUGAGCAACCUGCCCUUGACCCCGGAAUAACAGUUGGAAACAGCUGCUAAUACCGGAUACGACCUCUUCCGACAUCUGGAGAGGUGGAAAGCCCUGGCGGUCAGGGAUGGGCUCGCGGCCUAUCAGCUUGUUGGUGAGGUAACGGCUCACCAAGGCUUCG